rnacentral:rRNA from 1 species
ACUCCUACGGGAGGCAGCAGUGGGGGAAUAUUGCACAAUGGGCGCAAGCCUGAUGCAGCCAUGCCGCGUGUAUGAAGAAGGCCUUCGGGUUGUAAAGUACUUUCAGCAGUGAGGAAGGUGGUAGUGUUAAUAGCACUAUCAUUUGACGUUAGCUGCAGAAGAAGCACCGGCUAACUCCGUGCCAGCAGCCGCGGUAAUACGGAGGGUGCGAGCGUUAAUCGGAAUUACUGGGCGUAAAGCGCAUGCAGGUGGUUUGUUAAGUCAGAUGUGAAAGCCCGGGGCUCAACCUCGGAAUUGCAUUUGAAACUGGCAGACUAGAGUACUGUAGAGGGGGUAGAAUUUCAGGUGUAGCGGUGAAAUGCGUAGAGAUCUGAAGGAAUACCGGUGGCGAAGGCGGCCCCCUGGACAGAUACUGACACUCAGAUGCGAAAGCGUGGGGAGCAAACAGGAUUAGAUACCCUGGUAG